rnacentral:lncRNA from 1 species
GAGAAAAAAACAUUUUUGAGAUAAGGAAGGUGGAAGCUAAUUUUAAAAGACAUGUGCUUUUACUUCAUCUAAGCUAGUGAGGCAGAACAUAGUAAUUAUAUACAUAGCUUAUUAAUACUGUGUCCCUAAGAAAUGACGGAUCCAACUUCAAACCCAAGAUUGUUUGUUCAUAUUCUUUUUGCCAUACUCUGUCUUCUCCCAUGGCAGGACAAAGAGGUUCUUUGUCCUUUACUGUCCUUCACUGCAAUUCUUUUCAGUGGCUUUGAAAAAAAGAAAACGUCCCUUUCCCCACUGAUAUGGAAAAAUCUAGUUCUACCCUUAUAGCCUUUAAAAUAGGUAUGGAAUUCUUUACUAGUGGAGGGGAGCUUGCGUCAUUC